ACACAUGCAAGUCGAACGGCAGCGGGGGUGCUUGCACCUGCCGGCGAGUGGCGAACGGGUGAGUAAUGCAUCGGAACGUACCCAGUCGUGGGGGAUAACGCAGCGAAAGCUGUGCUAAUACCGCAUACGUCCUGAGGGAGAAAGCAGGGGAUCUCCGGACCUUGUGCGAUUGGAGCGGCCGAUGUCAGAUUAGCUAGUUGGUGAGGUAAAAGCUCACCAAGGCGACGAUCUGUAGCUGGUCUGAGAGGAUGAUCAGCCACACUGGAACUGAGACACGGUCCAGACUCCUACGGGAGGCAGCAGUGGGGAAUUUUGGACAAUGGGGGCAACCCUGAUCCAGCCAUGCCGCGUGAGUGAAGAAGGCCUUCGGGUUGUAAAGCUCUUUCGGCCGGGAAGAAAUCGUGCAGGCUAAUACCCUGUAUGGAUGACGGUACCGGAAUAAGAAGCACCGGCUAACUACGUGCCAGCAGCCGCGGUAAUACGUAGGGUGCGAGCGUUAAUCGGAAUUACUGGGCGUAAAGCGUGCGCAGGCGGUUUUGUAAGACAGGCGUGAAAUCCCGGCUCAACCUGGGAACUGCCUUGUGACCGCAAGACUAGAAUACGGCAGAAGGG
rnacentral:rRNA from 1 species